AUAGGAAUCCAAAGGGAGUGCAAUGGUGGUGCACGACAAUGAUGGAAAUGUGAAUGGUGGAGUGACACCCCUUUGUGGCUGAGCUUUUUGUCAUUUUUACAUUAAUUCUUCUUUCUCUUUAACACAUUCCUAGCCUCUUUAGUCUUCAAUUUCGUCCAUCCACCUUGCUCCAUGCAUGUGCUAUUCAUUCCAAGCCCAAAACUACUCAAAAUGCACCAAAAUGCAUCUUAUUGCUUCAUAAGGCCUAUAGACCUACAAACACACGAAAAUAGCUUAAAAUACAUAAUUAACUAAGAAAUAACAACAUAAAUGCAUGAGAACAAGCUAACUCAGUCGCAUAAAUAUGCUCCUAUAAAAUUCCCCCACACUUAGCGUUUGCUAGUCCUUGAGCAAAACAAAACAAACAAAACACAACCUAGACCUUCCAACAUUUGCCUCAGGGAUUUUUAAUGAAACAUGACAUGUUAAAAAUCAUCAUUCCCACCAAUUUUGGUCAUCUUUACACUUGAGCACAUACUUAAUCACAGUCACCACUUACUAGUUCACAAUUAACCAAUUA
rnacentral:lncRNA from 1 species